GAUCCUGGCUCAGGACGAACGCUGGCGGCGUGCCUAACACAUGCAAGUCGAACGGAGAGAAUCGGUGAAACAGAGAGAAGCUUGCUUCAGGAAGUUUCUUGAUUCUCUUAGUGGCGGACGGGUGAGUAACGCGUGGGCAAUCUGCCUUUUACAGGGGGAUAACACAGGGAAACCUGUGCUAAUACCGCAUAAGACCACGGUAUGGCAUCAUACAGAGGUCAAAGGAGCAAUCCGGUAAAAG
rnacentral:rRNA from 1 species